rnacentral:lncRNA from 1 species
GGGGAGAUAAAGCAGAAAAAACAAAAGAUUGGCAACUGGUGCCAGGUGUUAGCUCAGGUGCCAAUCUUUACCAAAAAAAAAGUGCUGACGAGUGAUGAUGAACUGGAGGAGAGGCAGGAGAGAAGGAAAAGAGAAAAUGGAUGUACAACUAAAUUUGGAUACCCAGCAGACAUGACAUAACAAUUGAUUGAUAGACUAGUAGAGAGAGAGAAUGGUCAAAGAUGGCCCAAGUUCUGGAGCAUGGUUGGCCAACAGAAAGAUGGCACAAUAAUGAAAAUCAAGAACAUAAGAGAAUAACCUGAUUGAGAAAUCAGCCAUAACUGGUUUUCUUGGCUGUAGACUCUUCAGGAAAGAAUGUGAAGUAUUUUUCCCACAUCCUCCCAGGAGGGCCACCAGGGGCUCCAGUCCUGGAGGUCGAGGAGCAUUGGAGCUGGUUCUGCAGUUGGGGAGUGGGAGUAGCCUUACCUGUCGGACAGUGACUUCCAGUAUCUGAGAAGAGGGUGGGAGAUCAUGAGCGUCCACAAGUGGCAGAAGUUGAGAUCCAAAUGGAACACACACACCCUCCCACCUCCCAGGAUGGCAAAACCUGGUACAGAGAUGGCUGUAAGGAGGAGGCUGGAAGAAAGACCACUAAGUGGCCAGUUAUUGGGCAAAGCCACUGUGAGUGGGCAGCUCACCAGCCUGCCUGGAGAAGCAGUGCCCACAGACAGGAAGCACCAGCAUUCAGCAAGGAGCACAAGGAGCAACUGUAACUGUGGCCAUCUCUACUGAAUAAGGACCAGCUGCCCCAGUUCUACAAGAUCGAGUCCUUUGCUUGUUUGGGAGAUUUUUUGUGCCUUUUGUUUUUGUAAAAUCCAACGUUCCGAGGGAAGAAGCCCUAAUAAUGACAUUAAAUUUCUCACUAACUGUGGAUGGGACUUGGGACCAGAUUUAAAUAAACUUGGACAAAUAAAGAACAUUGGCAUUUUGUU